AGUGAACGCUGGCGGUAGGCCUAACACAUGCAAGUCGAACGGCAGCACAGUAAGAGCUUGCUCUUACGGGUGGCGAGUGGCGGACGGGUGAGGAAUACAUCGGAAUCUACUUUUUCGUGGGGGAUAACGUAGGGAAACUUACGCUAAUACCGCAUACGACCUACGGGUGAAAGCAGGGGAUCUUCGGACCUUGCGCGAUUGAAUGAGCCGAUGUCGGAUUAGCUAGUUGGCGGGUUAAAGGCCCACCAAGGCGACGAUCCGUAGCUGGUCUGAGAGGAUGAUCAGCCACACUGGAACUGGGACACGGUCCAGACUCCUACGGGAGGCAGCAGUGGGGAAUAUUGGACAAUGGGCGCAAGCCUGAUCCAGCCAUACCGCGUGGGUGAAGAAGGCCUUCGGGUUGUAAAGCCCUUUUGUUGGGAAAGAAAAGCAGCAGGUUAAUACCCCGCUGUUCUGACGGUACCCAAAGAAUAAGCACCGGCUAACUUCGUG
rnacentral:rRNA from 1 species